GACGAACGCUGGCGGCGUGCCUAAUACAUGCAAGUCGAACGCUUCUUUCCUCCCGAGUGCUUGCACUCAAUUGGAAAGAGGAGUGGCGGACGGGUGAGUAACACGUGGGUAACCUACCCAUCAGAGGGGGAUAACACUUGGAAACAGGUGCUAAUACCGCAUAACAGUUUAUGCCGCAUGGCAUAAGAGUGAAAGGCGCUUUCGGGUGUCGCUGAUGGAUGGACCCGCGGUGCAUUAGCUAGUUGGUGAGGUAACGGCUCACCAAGGCCACGAUGCAUAGCCGACCUGAGAGGGUGAUCGGCCACACUGGGACUGAGACACGGCCCAGACUCCUACGGGAGGCAGCAGUAGGGAAUCUUCGGCAAUGGAUGAAAUUCUGACCGAGCAACGCCGCGUGAGUGAAGAAGGUUUUCGGAUCGUAAAACUCUGUUGUUAGAGAAGAACAAGGACGUUAGUAACUGAACGUCCCCUGACGGUAUCUAACCAGAAAGCCACGGCUAACUACGUG
rnacentral:rRNA from 1 species